CGCCCUAUCGUCUAGCGGUCAAGGAUCUCUGAAUUUCAACCAGAAGACACGGGUUCGAGUCCCGUUAGGGCGA
rnacentral:tRNA from 1 species